rfam:Pan troglodytes isolate Yerkes chimp pedigree #C0471 (Clint) chromosome X, whole genome shotgun sequence.
UGCCUCCAUGCUCCUAGUCCCUUCCUUGAAGCGGUCGGAUAAUCACAUGACGAGCCUCAAGCAAGGGACUUCAAGCUGGUGGCU